UCUGGCAGCACCACAGGUCUUUGUGCUUUUCAGCAAACUCACAGUGAACCACAGGAUCACUUCUCUCUUUGACAAUCUGGGGUUGUUCAGCCAUGUAGUUUACAAAUAAUAGUGGCUGAGGUUUGCGUGCCAGUGUGAUCAGGGAGUUUAAUAUUUAAUCUCCUAGCUGUCUGUGGUGUGCCCUUGAAGCUGUGUCAGAGACAGAUACCUGCCUGUGGGAAUUGGAAAUGCUCUCCAGGAACUGUGAUGCCUUGAGCUGACAAGUCCUUGGACUGGAAUUAAAGCAGAGCUCCUAUGUGUAACACAUUAACAAAGGCUAGCACCCAGCCAGACUGCUGGGAUCAGCACCCUGCCAAUGGCUGCCUCAUUCUCAUAAACACACAGAGCCCCAAAAAGAAACAGAACAAAUAUUUCAUAUGGUAAGUGUGAAA
rnacentral:lncRNA from 12 species